CAUUCACAUUGUAUUUCAAUUCUUAAAAUCCAUCACAUGGAUUACCCCGAUCAAGGUUUUACUGAAUUGAAACACACUGAUACAUUAACUUCUAUUUAUUUGGAGGGGUCAAUUCUAUCUUGACUCACACACCGACUUCACAAGUACUUGACUGUGUCCAGAAAUCUUUCAUCACUGAAUUAGAAAUUCAGAUUGUCUAGCACC
rnacentral:lncRNA from 1 species